rnacentral:rRNA from 1 species
CCUACGGGGGGCAGCAGUGGGGAAUAUUGGGCAAUGGGCGCAAGCCUGACCCAGCAACGCCGCGUGAAGGAAGAAGGCGUUCGGGUUGUAAACUUCUUUUGGCAGGGAAGAGGAGAAGACGGUACCUGACGAAUAAGCCAUGGCUAACUACGGGCCAGCAGCCGCGGUAAUACGUAGGUGGGAAGCGUUGUCCGGAGUUACGGGGUGUAAAGGGCGUGUAGCCGGGUUGACAAGUCAGAUGUGAAAUCCUGCGGCUUAACCGCAGAACUGCAUUUGAAACUGUUGAUCUUGAGUACUGGAGAGGCAGCUGGAAUUCCUAGUGUAGCGGUGAAAUGCGUAGAUAUUAGGAGGAACACCAGUGGCGAAGGCGGUCUGCUGGACCGCAACUGACGGUGAGGCGCGAAAGCGUGGGGAGCAAACAGGAUUAGAUACCCCAGUAGUC